UUCACAAACUCAAAUGCCUUCAGGAGCUAAACAGAGAAUAAGGCUUUGGUCUUAAUGGCCCCACAGUGGCAAGGUCUUAUCUUGCUCUGCUUUGGCACUCCUCCAAGGAGUCCAUUCUACUCUUACUCCAUUGAAGGUUUGGUGAUGUGUGCAUGGCCCAGAUUUCCCGAACCUAAACUCGUGGUCAUCUCACGUUCACGUUCAAUGGCUGGGCCCAGGAAUCAAACUGAUGAAAAACUAUCAAGAGAGAACCAACAACAUUUUAAUUAUGUACACACAAAG